rnacentral:rRNA from 1 species
GGCGAAAGCCUGAUGCAGCGACGCCGCGUGGGGGAUGACGGCCUUCGGGUUGUAAACCCCUUUCAGUAGGGAAGAAGCGAAAGUGACGGUACCUGCAGAAGAAGCGCCGGCUAACUACGUGCCAGCAGCCGCGGUAAUACGUAGGGCGCAAGCGUUGUCCGGAAUUAUUGGGCGUAAAGAGCUCGUAGGUGGCUUGUCGCGUCUGCCGUGAAAACCCGAGGCUCAACCUCGGGCGUGCGGUGGGUACGGGCAGGCUAGAGUGUGGUAGGGGAGACUGGAACUCCUGGUGUAGCGGUGAAA